ensembl:lncRNA
CGCCCCGCUGCCCUCUGCUCCGGGGGCUGCCGGCGCAUCACCUCCAUCUGCGAGCUACCGCGCAGAAAUCUUUUUCCCCUUUAUUCCUUCUUUACACCCAGCCCUCCCGGCAGGUCGCUAACACGCAUUUCCUCCGGUUCUGACCGGCGGAAAAUGUAAACAGGCAGCGGGCAGCGGUGAGGCUCCGCCAUCGAACUUGUUGCUCAACUUACGAGGCGGUUCUCAUCUCCUCAUCAAAAGCCGCCGGGCUUUCUUCAGCCGUAUGGACAAAAAUGUGAACAACAAUGCCCGCCUCCCCUCACUUCAAAAGCGGCCAUCGCGGAG